AUUGAACGCUGGCGGCAGGCCUCACACAUGCAAGUCGAGCGGAUGAAGGUAGCUUGCUCCUGGAUUCAGCGGCGGACGGGUGAGUAAUGCCUAGGAAUCUGCCUGGUAGUGGGGGAUAACGUCCGGAAACGGGCGCUAAUACCGCAUACGUCCUGAGGGAGAAAGUGGGGGAUCUUCGGACCUCACGCUAUCAGAUGAGCCUAGGUCGGAUUAGCUAGUUGGUGGGGUAAAGGCCUACCAAGGCGACGAUCCGUAACUGGUCUGAGAGGAUGAUCAGUCACACUGGAACUGAGACACGGUCCAGACUCCUACGGGAGGCAGCAGUGGGGAAUAUUGGACAAUGGGCGAAAGCCUGAUCCAGCCAUGCCGCGUGUGUGAAGAAGGUCUUCGGAUUGUAAAGCACUUUAAGUUGGGAGGAAGGGCAGUAAGUUAAUACCUUGCUGUUUUGACGUUACCAACAGAAUAAGCACCGGCUAACUUCGUG
rnacentral:rRNA from 1 species